GUGGGGAAUAUUGGACAAUGGGCGAAAGCCUGAUCCAGCGACGCCGCGUGAGUGAUGAAGGCCUUCGGGUUGUAAAGCUCUGUCGGGAGGGAAGAAUAGCCAGCUGGCUAAUAUCCAGUUGGUCUGACGGUACCUCCGAAGGAAGCACCGGCUAACUCUGUGCCAGCAGCCGCGGUAAUACAGAGGGUGCAAGCGUUGCUCGGAAUUACUGGGCGUAAAGCGUGAGUAGGCGGCCUGUCAAGUGGGGUGUGAAAGCCCUGGGCUCAACCCAGGAACUGCGCUCCAGACUGUCAGGCUUGAGUGCCGGAGAGGGUGGUGGAAUUCCCGGUGUAGAGGUGAAAUUCGUAGAUAUCGGGAGGAACACCAGUGGCGAAGGCGGCCACCUGGACGGACACUGACGCUGAGUCACGAAAGCGUGGGGAGCAAACAGGAUUAGAAACCCCAGUAGUCC
rnacentral:rRNA from 1 species